rnacentral:rRNA from 1 species
UACGGAGGGGGCUAGCGUUGUUCGGAAUUACUGGGCGUAAAGCGCACGUAGGCGGCUUUGUAAGUUAGAGGUGAAAGCCCGGGGCUCAACCCCGGAAUUGCCUUUAAGACUGCAUCGCUAGAAUUGUGGAGAGGUAAGUGGAAUUCCGAGUGUAGAGGUGAAAUUCGUAGAUAUCGGGAGGAACACCAGUGGCGAAGGCGGCGACCUGGACGGACACUGACGCUGAGACGCGAAAGCGUGGGGAGCAAACAGG